UUACAUUUGGAAUGGAAAGGACUCCAGGUGGAAACUCAUCAGACCUUUGUUUUAGAGAGGUUAAAUGACUUGGCCAUGGCCACAUGGAAUUUAUGGGAGAUCACCUGAAGCCCACUAUAAUGCACUUUCAAGGAACGAGGGAGAAAGGGAUACAUGGACAAGCAGAUCUACAACCUUCCUGCUAAAUGAUGUUGGGAAUGCUACCCUCCUUUCGUGGCCUGUUUACUCAUCAAGCUUCCCUGGUAACAUUCUUUGGAAGAUUAAAACUUCAGUGUGAACAGAGCAUUAACUAAGUUCUUAAUGAAGUUACACUUGCUUACUGACACCUGGUCUCUGAGGGAGAAAGAAAACAACUUUCUAACAACAGUGAGUGAGCCAUCUAUCUUUCCGGAACCUUGUAAUAGGAGACAUGAAGAAUGAGAAGACUGGACUGCCAUCAGGAAACUCCUAGCCACACAGGAUGGCAAAUGACAGGAAGAAAUAGUGAAUAUGUAAAAGAGCAGAAAUGGCUGCAUAGGUAUGAAUUAUGGGGUAGGAGUGAUGUCACCAGGAAGGUAACAUAGGUAGCUCCUGACUGUACAAGAACUGAAAACCAUUCAUGAUGAGACAUCAAUGAAAACAUUCUAGAAUGUGAAGCACCUCUGCACCAAAGACCUGGAGACAGACCUCACUGGAAGGAUAAGAGGAGCAGUUACACAUUGGUAUUAUGCCAGCCGAGGGAGGGACACACUGGGAGGUCUCCCCAAAGCCUACAGCUGUCCAGUAAGAAAAGACACCCCAUCAUGGACAGUGGGUCCCUUUUGGGGAGUUUAUACUUUGGUCUCACCUCAAGGAGAUCAUGGGAGAAUCUGCAGGGCUUGCAACAACCAGCAUUCAGAUCUUGGCCAAAUGGUUCCUACCAGCAAUGCCCAGAUGGAAGUCCCAAGGAGCAGCCUCACUCAUCUGCACGGCCAAGACAGUGGCGCAGUUUGACCAGGGAAUGAGGCAGGAUGCAGGUCUGCCUGAUCUGGGAACUCAGAUGAAGAUCCUUGCUGUACUCUGAGUCUGGUCUCCUCACCCUGGCCAGGCAGCUAAUUCUUAGCCCAGACCAAUACUGAAUGCAGUUCCUGGCCCUGCCCAACCAGCAAGCCUGUUCUGAUAACUGGGAAAUGUCUCGGCACAGCAGCGCUCAAACAGCCCAGCCAGUGGCUCUGCCCAUCUGUGGAGACAGACUAGUGAGCUUAUCUGGCCAGAGAGUUUGAUGCACAGGUAUGCCUGGUAAGACUCUCACUUGGGGAGCUAAGCAGACUUGGGACCUUUUCUUUGGCUGCCUACACCUCCUUGUGCAGGAAAGCUCAGCUGCAGCUCUGCCCACUGCUGAAGAGAGCCUCCAGUCCUGCUAGCUGAAACCCCUAAUCUUGGUAGUGUGCCCGCCAGCCCUGAUUAUAAUGGUACUUGAACAGAGAACAUCACCAGCAGCUUUGUAUCCGUGGAGCCAUUUGUCCAGACAGCUGAGUGUGCAGGUCUGACUUGAUUCCUCCCACCCUCAAAAGACUAGUCUGCAGCCUGCCCAGGCAAAGGAAUAUAGAGCUGCCUCCAGACUGACACAACCCUAACCAGAGCUCUUUCCAACUUGUGACCUGUGAAGGGCCUCAUCUAAGCAGAAACACUAAUUCGAAGCCUCACCUAAACAGACCCUGAUAGCAAGUGCCACCUGCUCAAAGAUGUUACAAACUGAUAAGUGCAGAAAAUCAAGUGGUCUGGCCCAGUCUAGAAGAGGAGACCACUUACUCAAAUGUGCAGAUACUGACAUAAAUCACUAAAAAAUGUAAACACGAUACCACUAGGGGCAACUAAUGAAGCACUAAUAAAUGACACUAAAAAAAGGA